rnacentral:rRNA from 1 species
UACAGAGGUCUCAAGCGUUGUUCGGAAUUAUUGGGCGUAAAGCGCGUGUAGGCGGCUUAGCAAGUCGGGCGUGAAAGCCCUCGGCUCAACCGAGGAAGUGCACCCGAAACUGCUGAGCUUGAGUGCCGGAGAGGAUGGCGGAAUUCCCCAAGUAGAGGUGAAAAUUCGUAGAUAUGGGGAGGAACACCGGUGGCGAAGGCGGCCAUCUGGACGGUAACUGACGCUGAGACGCGAAAAGCGUGGGGAGCAAACAGG